AUUGAACGCUGGCGGCAUGCCUUACACAUGCAAGUCGAACGGUAACGGGCCUUCGGGUGCCGACGAGUGGCGAACGGGUGAGUAAUGUAUCGGAACGUACCUUUCAGUGGGGGAUAACGUAGCGAAAGUUACGCUAAUACCGCAUAUUCUGUGAGCAGGAAAGCAGGGGAUCGCAAGACCUUGCACUGAUUGAGCGGCCGAUAUCAGAUUAGCUAGUUGGUGAGGUAAGGGCUCACCAAGGCGACGAUCUGUAGCGGGUCUGAGAGGAUGAUCCGCCACACUGGAACUGAGACACGGUCCAGACUCCUACGGGAGGCAGCAGUGGGGAAUUUUGGACAAUGGGGGCAACCCUGAUCCAGCCAUGCCGCGUGAGUGAAGAAGGCCUUCGGGUUGUAAAGCUCUUUCGGCCGGGAAGAAAUCGUAUCAGCUAAUACCUGGUGCGGAUGACGGUACCGGCAUAAGAAGCACCGGCUAACUACGUGCCAGCCGCCGCCGUAAUAC
rnacentral:rRNA from 1 species